rnacentral:tRNA from 1 species
UAAAUAGAGGCCAAAUAGAGGCACCUAACUGUUAAUUAGAAGAUUGUUUACCAAACCUAUUUAA